CCUACGGGAGGCAGCAGUGGGGAAUUUUGGACAAUGGGCGAAAGCCUGAUCCAGCCAUUCCGCGUGCAGGAUGAAGGCCCUCGGGUUGUAAACUGCUUUUGUACAGAACGAAAAGGUUUCUACUAAUACUAGGAGCUCAUGACGGUACUGUAAGAAUAAGCACCGGCUAACUACGUGCCAGCAGCCGCGGUAAUACGUAGGGUGCAAGCGUUAAUCGGAAUUACUGGGCGUAAAGCGUGCGCAGGCGGUUAUAUAAGUCAGAUGUGAAAUCCCCGGGCUCAACCUGGGAACUGCAUUUGAGACUGUAUAGCUAGAGUACGGUAGAGGGGGAUGGAAUUCCGCGUGUAGCAGUGAAAUGCGUAGAUAUGCGGAGGAACACCGAUGGCGAAGGCAAUCCCCUGGACCUGUACUGACGCUCAUGCACGAAAGCGUGGGGAGCAAACAGGAUUAGAUACCCUGGUAGUCCACGCCCUAAACGAUGUCAACUGGUUGUUGGGUCUUAACUGACUCAGUAACGAAGCUAACGCGUGAAGUUGACCGCCUGGGGAGUACGGCCGCGAAGGUUGAAACUCAAAGGAAUUGAGG
rnacentral:rRNA from 1 species